GAUGAACGCUGGCGGCGUGCCUAAUACAUGCAAGUCGAGCGAACGGACGAGAAGCUUGCUUCUCUGAUGUUAGCGGCGGACGGGUGAGUAACACGUGGAUAACCUACCUAUAAGACUGGGAUAACUUCGGGAAACCGGAGCUAAUACCGGAUAAUAUUUUGAACCGCAUGGUUCAAAAGUGAAAGACGGUCUUGCUGUCACUUAUAGAUGGAUCCGCGCUGCACUAGCUAGUUGGUAAGGUAACGGCUUACCAAGGCAACGAUGCAUAGCCGACCUGAGAGGGUGAUCGGCCACACUGGAACCGAGACACGGUCCAGACUCCUACGGGAGGCAGCAGUAGGGAAUCUUCCGCAAUGGGCGAAAGCCUGACGGAGCAACGCCGCGUGAGUGAUGAAGGUCUUCGGAUCGUAAAACUCUGUUAUUAGGGAAGAACAUAUGUGUAAGUAACUGUGCACAUCUUGACGGUACCUAAUCAGAAAGCCACGGCUAACUACGUGCCAGCAGCCGCGGUAAUACGUAGGUGGCAAGCGUUAUCCGGAAUUAUUGGGCGUAAAGCGCGCGUAGGCGGUUUUUUAAGUCUGAUGUGAAAGCCCACGGCUCAACCGUGGAGGGUCAUUGGAAACUGGAAAACUUGAGUGCAGAAGAGGAAAGUGGAAUUCCAUGUGUAGCGGUGAAAUGCGCAGAGAUAUGGAGGAACACCAGUGGCGAAGGCGACUUUCUGGUCUGUAACUGACGCUGAUGUGCGAAAGCGUGGGGAUCAAACAGGAUUAGAUACCCUGGUAGUCCACGCCGUAAACGAUGAGUGCUAAGUGUUAGGGGGUUUCCGCCCCUUAGUGCUGCAGCUAACGCAUUAAGCACUCCGCCUGGGGAGUACGACCGCAAGGUUGAAACUCAAAGGAAUUGACGGGGACCCGCACAAGCGGUGGAGCAUGUGGUUUAAUUCGAAGCAACGCGAAGAACCUUACCAAAUCUUGACAUCCUUUGACAACUCUAGAGAUAGAGCCUUCCCCUUCGGGGGACAAAGUGACAGGUGGUGCAUGGUUGUCGUCAGCUCGUGUCGUGAGAUGUUGGGUUAAGUCCCGCAACGAGCGCAACCCUUAAGCUUAGUUGCCAUCAUUAAGUUGGGCACUCUAAGUUGACUGCCGGUGACAAACCGGAGGAAGGUGGGGAUGACGUCAAAUCAUCAUGCCCCUUAUGAUUUGGGCUACACACGUGCUACAAUGGACAAUACAAAGGGCAGCGAAACCGCGAGGUCAAGCAAAUCCCAUAAAGUUGUUCUCAGUUCGGAUUGUAGUCUGCAACUCGACUACAUGAAGCUGGAAUCGCUAGUAAUCGUAGAUCAGCAUGCUACGGUGAAUACGUUCCCGGGUCU
rnacentral:rRNA from 1 species